rnacentral:rRNA from 1 species
GGAGCAUUGUUGGUUUUAAUUACGAAGAUACACGAAGUAACCUUACCUGGCCUUGACAUUGGUACGGUAACCUUAAGAGAUUAGGGGUGGCUAGCUUGCUAGAACCUACACACAGGUGCUGCACGGCUGUCGUCAGCUCGUGUCGUGAGAUUGUUGGGUUAAGUCCCGCAACGAGCGCAACCCUCGUCCUUAGUUGCUAACAGUUCGGCUGAGCACUCUAGGGAGACUGCCUUCGCAAGGAGGAGGAAGGUGAGGACGACGUCAAGUCAUCAUGGCCCUUACGGCCAGGGCUACACACGUGCUACAAUGGGGCGGUACAGAGAGCUGCGAUACCGCGAGGUGGAGCCAAUCUCUUAAAGCGUCUCUCAGUUCGGAUUGUUCUCUGCAACUCGAGAACAUGAAGCUGGAAUCACUAGUAAUCGCAGAUCAGCUAUGCUGCGGUGAAUACGUUCCCGGGUCUU